CGGGCUUGAGCUGAUGACCUAAAUAGCUUCCAUGAGGAAAUUCAGCAUUAUUGCGUCUGAUGAGGGCGUAAUGGUGUGCACUUUUCUUCUAGUAAGACGUUGCGAUCCAUUAGAAAAUGUUUAAAUCUGUAUAUAGGCCCGGGUAGGAGUUUAUACAUUAAGCGAGUAACAUGGCUUUGUUGUUAUGUGAAUGCGUGUAAACUACUUGGUGUUCUUACAGAUGUCUGAUGGUAUUUUGACUAAAUGUCGUAUACAAUCUUCGGAUUGAUGCCUCUCGUGGGUAUAAUGCGUACAUUAUCAGCAACGUUUUAGAUUUAGGAUACCAUCAGGACCCGUCUUGAAACACGGACCAAGAAGUCUAACUUGUAUGCAAGUCAAUGGGAUUAUUAAAACCUAUAGGCGAAAUGAGAUUAACUUGUUAAUGGGAUUACAAAUGGUAUUAAUCAUACUAUUUUUCCAUCCCCGGGUAUCUUAAUGUAAGUACUGUGUUCUCGGAUGCGUGUACUACAAAGAUAUACCGUGAGCAUACAAGCUGUGACCCGAAAGAUGGUGAACUAUGCCUGAUCAGGUUGAAGUCAGGGGAAACCCUGAUGGAAGACCGUAGCAAUUCUGACGUGCAAAUCGAUUGUCAGAGUUGGGUAUAGGGGCGAAAGACCAAUCGAACCAUCUAGUAGUUUUCCCCCUUUCCGAAA
rnacentral:rRNA from 1 species